rnacentral:snRNA from 1 species
GGAUGUGAGGGCAAUCUGGCUGCAACAUCUGUCACCCCAUUGAUUGCCAGGGUUGAUUCGGCUGAUCUGGCUGGCUAGGUGGGUGUCCCCUUCCUCCCUCACCACUCCAUGUGCAUCCCUCCCGAAGCUGCGCACUUGGUCAAAGAGGACGACCAUUCCCGAUAGAGGAGGCCCGUGCUUUGGUCAAGGGUAUAGGAGUAGCUGCACUCCCCUGCUAGAACCUCCAAACAAGCUCUCAAGAAUGGCUUAUGUUGGGAACCAGCAGUUAGUGUAAUGGCUAUGUCGCUGGACUCCCAUGUAGUUGAUUGCGGUUCACG